CUGAAAGAGAGCCAACACGUAAAAAGUUCAACCCCCGUUUCUCUUGUCCUUGACUGACGACUGACGGGGUUUCACCAUCUUCACUUUGAGAUGUAAAACCAAAAGAGGACAGUCAAAAUUAGGGAUUAGGGCUUACAACGAAAUAGUUAAAUUAUCGUCUGAUUGAAGCAAUGCCAUGGCUUCCCACAUCGAUGGCUUCAACGAAAGCUAUCGGGUUUAUAUUGUUCCGCCUUCGAUAACAAUUCGUCCCUUCUGGGACAUCCGAUAAAAUUGGAACGAUACAGAGAAGAUUAGCAUGGCCCCUGCGCAAGGAUGACACGCACAAAUCGAGAAAUGGUCCAAAUUUUUUUUUUGCCCUAAUUUGCUUGAUCGACUGCAGAUUCGGCGGCGUAUUUCACUAGAUUUUUUGUUCAAUAGCUCCAGAAAGGUAACGUUAUCUGAUGAUCCUCUUAGAUUUACUCCAUUUUAUUAGCUUAUCUCGCUAAACAACUUAUUGAUUUCUUGUUAUUUGCUGCGGUUUAUGAUGCUUAUAUGGAUUCACAUGACAAACGCUAUCAUCCGUUGCUAAUGAAUGUAGAUGGAAUGUGUUAAGCUCCUUGUCUAAAUAGUCUGGUGGAAUCAGUUCAUAACCGGGCAUCAAAUCUAUUAUACUACAACUUUCAUCUUUAGUGGUCGCUGUAGACUGUUGUGUCCUUGAAGCUUCUGUUGGUUUCCUUUCUUCUUAAUUUGAAUUGGUGCGAUGUUCUGUAUGCAUCAUGUGUGUUUAAUACUUUAAUAACUAUUAACAAUCACAAAAUGUCUAAAGUUGCAUACUUCAAUGGUUUUCUUUGUCAUUUCAACAAGUAUAGCGAUUAGUUUGGAAUAAAGCUACAGACUCGAUAUGAUAGAUUAGACACAUGAUUCACUCCUUAAUGAUAAUGAUAGAGGUUGGAAGUUUAUAAGAGUUCUUUUUUGUCUUUAGGCUUCAACACAGCAUUAAAGUAUUGCUAAUUGGUUAAUCUUGAAUGCCUGAUAGCAUCAAUUGAUGUUGAAGGUAUGCAUGAUAUUUUCUGACAAGUCUCUGUGUUAAACUGUUAGCGUGUAAAGGUAGGUUAAUUUUUCAUGAACUAGGGCCUUAAUUAUUAAUUAUUAACAGUUUUUACUUAUAAAUGCCAACAGUUUUACAGUUUUCCACUGAUUAUAGCAAAAUUUUAACCUAAAGAAACGGUAACUAAUCACCAUUUGACAUUUUUUUUGCUUAUGUGACAUCCAACCAAGAUGUGGCAAUGCAUAUACCAAAAUGGAAUCCAAGAAUUACCAAGUUUUAUUUUUUGCAAUAAUCGGUAGAAAUUGUGAUCUAGAAAAGGCAAACACAAAGAAUCUUGAAGGAUAAAGCAGUAGAAAAGAGGCAUCCCAACAAACAACUAUAAGGAUCGAUAUCUUGUAGUCAGGGGACCCAAAAAUUCUUUUUGUCGGGGGAAAUUUUUUCAGCCGAUAGACAUUUUUUUAAACCAAUUUUUGACCAAAUAAUUUAUUUAAUGUAAAUUUAAACCAUUCUUGUUUAUUAAAUCUGAUAAUUUUAUAUAUUUAGCCUAUUUAAACAGAAGGGCUUGACGAAAAAAAAAACAUCUCCCACAUUGUCGGUGUGUAUGAGGGUUUGUAGAUGUUUUUAGUAUUUAAAUGAAAAUGUGCAAAUCAAUGCAUGUAGAUUCACUCUUCCCACAUCGACGGAUAGUGAAAUCCUGUAUGUUUUAAUGUAUAUAAGAGGGUUUGUCUAGUCUGAACUUUAUGAUUAAAGGCUUUGUGUCUGACUUUAAUAAAUUCUGAGGGACAAUUUGCAAAGUUAUUAUUAAAAUUUAUACUAAUGCAAUUAAUUUAGCUGGGCAGCUUCACACUGCCCUGUUUGUAGUCAAAGCAUGGUUUAGCAUAUAUGAAGUACAAGUUAGUAUCGUAACAUAAACGAGUGGCAUGGUCUGGAUGGUCUAUUUAUUAGGGAAAGUGACAUUAACAAGAUGUGAAAAAUGAAUGGUUCAUUUUCACUAUACAAGAUUGAUGGGAUGGAUAUUUCGGCAUUUAUGUAUGUAUAUAAAAUAGGAUAAUAUUUGAUAAAGAUAAUAUGGUCUAUUUACAAUACGAAUAAUGAACUGUCUGAACGUCUGUUCAUUGUUUUCUUUCUCUAUUCGACUCGAUCUAAAAUAAUCUUUGUUCUUGCGACACUCGUCCUUUUCUCGUUAUUGUUCAUCGACAAAUUUCCACCAACAAAUUAAGCGAACAACAUACCUCUGACCUGGUUAUUGACAUGUGCUUGUACCCACCAUGGCACAGUCCAUCGCCGCCCACCACCAACACCAACAAACACUCAUCUACGACAACUAACCACCCACCCUUCACACCCAAAGUUAACUCUUAGUUGUAAUUUAUGCUUUUCUUUGUUGUUAACGGAUUACAUGUUCAUCCACAAACUUGGCUGAUAUUGGUAAUAUGAUGAUGCUUUGUUUUGUUUGUGCCUC